CACACGCGGGUGUCGGGCGGCGGCCGAAGGGUGAAACCCUGGCCGUACCGUCCUUCCGGUGUUUGUUCCGAGCCCCAGGCCCGGCCAAACGCGAACCCCGCGGAGGCAGAACCGGAAAAGAAGGAGACGG
rnacentral:sRNA from 1 species